CUCCGUUCCUGGGAGAGCAUUCACCAUUAUCGAUGGCAACUGUGGAAGCACCUGUAGAUUCUCUGUAGCUCGCAGCUCCUGCCUCAACAGCUGCCUAGACAAUGGCUUCUGCCCAGAUGACCACCCCGGGAUCGCAGGAGCCUGGCUCUAUGACAGCCCGAGAGCAACAAAACCUCCCCUGGGAGUGCCUUCUGUCUCCUAGCCCUGAGCACAGCAAUACAAAAUGCCUCUCCCAGGACCUACCAACUUGCACAAGUCUGAAAGGAAAGCUACUGGAAGAUACUCACCAUUAUGAUGAGGGACAAAACCAAGAAGGACGUCGUCUCCAAGAAACAGCAGGUGCACCUGCAGAGAAAGGUGCAGUGCAGUCCCCAGAGGACGACAAGGUCUAAAAUUUUGCCAAUAGAAAGGUGGGAAGAAAAAAAGUUUAUAAAUCCAAUGGACUCAAGGCCAGACUGUUGGGGUGCCCAGGGGUGCCAAGGGGAGGACAGCCAGCAAAGACAAGAGAGCAAC